rnacentral:rRNA from 1 species
UAAGUCCCAUAACGAGCGCAACCCCAUUUCUAGUUGCCAGCGGUUCGGCCGGGGACUCUAGAGAAACUGCCAGCGUAAGCUGUGAGGAAGGUGGGGAUGACGUCAAAUCAUCACGGCCCUUACAUCCUGGGCCACACACGUGCUACAAUGGUGGGGACAACAGGUUGCCAACCCGCGAGGGUGAGCCAAUCCCAAAACCCCAUCUCAGUUCGGAUCGGAGUCUGCAACUCGACUCCGUGAAGUUGGAAUCGCUAGUAAUCGCGGAUCAGCCAUGCCGCGGUGAAUACGUUCCCGGGCCUU